GACGAACGCUGGCGGCGUGCUUAACACAUGCAAGUCGAACGGAAAGGCCCUGCUUUUGUGGGGUGCUCGAGUGGCGAACGGGUGAGUAACACGUGAGUAACCUGCCCUUGACGUUGGGAUAACUUCAGGAAACGGGGGUUAAUACCGGAUAGGAGCUCCUGCUGCAUGGUGGGGGUUGGAAAGUUUCGGCGGUGGGGGAUGGACUCGCGGCUUAUCAGCUUGUUGGUGGGGUAGUGGCUUACCAAGGGUUUGACGGGUAGCCGGCCUGAGAGGGUGACCGGCCACAUUGGGACUGGAAUACGGCCCAGACUCCUACGGGAGGCAGAGGUGGGAAAUAUUGCACAAUGGGCGGAGGCCUGAUGCAGCAAGGCGGCGUGCGGGAUAACGGCCUUCGGUUUGUAAACCGCUUUCGCAUGUGACGAGGCGUGAGUGACGGUACUUGGUGAAGAAGCACCGGCUAACUACGUG
rnacentral:rRNA from 1 species